rfam:Felis catus isolate Cinnamon breed Abyssinian chromosome C2, whole genome shotgun sequence.
GCCUGGGUGGCUCAGUCGUUUGAGCGUCCGACUUCGGCUCAGGUCACGGUCUCGCGGUCUGUGGGUUCGAGCCCCGCAUCAGGCU